GAUGAACGCUGGCGGCGUGCUUAACACAUGCAAGUCGAACGAUGAAGCCCAGCUUGCUGGGCGGAUUAGUGGCGAACGGGUGAGUAACACGUGAGUAACCUGCCCUUGACUCUGGGAUAAGCCCGGGAAACUGGGUCUAAUACCGGAUAGGAGCGCCUGUCGCAUGACGGGUGCUGGAAAGAUCUUUCGGUCAUGGAUGGACUCGCGGCCUAUCAGCUUGUUGGUGAGGUAACGGCUCACCAAGGCGACGACGGGUAGCCGGCCUGAGAGGGUGACCGGCCACACUGGGACUGAGACACGGCCCAGACUCCUACGGGAGGCAGCAGUGGGGAAUAUUGCACAAUGGGCGGAAGCCUGAUGCAGCGACGCCGCGUGAGGGAUGACGGCCUUCGGGUUGUAAACCUCUUUCAGUAGGGAAAGAAAGCGAA
rnacentral:rRNA from 1 species